rnacentral:rRNA from 2 species
CUAAAUAAGAUAAUGAUAAUGACAAUUUCUUAUUUAUAAGUCUUGACCAAAUUACGUGCCAGCAGUCGCGGUAAUACGUAGAAGACUAGUGUUAGUCAUCUUUAUUAGGUUUAAAGGGUACCUAGACGGUAAAUUAAACUCUAAAUGAGUACUUUUUUACUAGAGUUUUAUAAGAGAAGGAAGAAUUUCUGGAGUAGAGAUAAAAUGCUUUGAUACCAGAAGGACUGGUAACGGCGAAGGCAUCCUUCUAUGUAAAAACUGACGUUGAGGGACGAAGGCUUGGGUAGCAAUAAGGAUUAGAUACCCUAGUAGUCCAAGCAGAAAAUGAUGAAUGUCAUAGGCUAGAUAAUAUAUUUAGUCUAUAAAUGAAAGUGUAAGCAUUCCACCUCAAGAGUAAUAUGGCAACAUAUAAACUGAAAUCAUUAGACCGUUUCU